UUCCUGCUGGAGAUCUCUGUCUGAGACCUACACUACCUGAGGCCUUCCAAAGCAGGUCACCAGGAUAGUCCGGAGCACUUGCCCUGAGAGUUGAGGCAGAGAAAAUGGAGCUUGUUCAGCCUGGAGAACAGAAGGCUUGGCAUAGGAGGGACAUCAAAUAUCAGCCUUCCAGUACUUACAGGGAGGUAAUAAGGAAGAUGGAAGCAAACUUUUGAUGAUUAUGCACAAUAUAAGGACAAGAGACAACGGCAUAAUGUGAAACUUCAGACUGGAUAGAGGGAAACACUUUUUCACCAUGAGGGCUGUCAGGCAGUGAAUCAGAUUGCCCAAAGGUUGUGCAGUUGGAGUUCACAAAGCCUUCACAGAUGGCCCUGCUAGAUUGGACUGGGUAGUAGGCUGGACUGGGUGACUCACUAAGUAUUUCUAUACCCCUAUGGUCAACUUAGAAACACCCAGAAUCUGCAAAACUGAUAAGAAGCAAUUAUUUUCAGUAUGAGUACUGAUCUAAAUAUGGCUAUUAACACUAUGCAGAUAGGUAAUUUCCUUGGCACAAAAACUUUCACUAUAUAAUUAACUUCAUAGAUUUGUGCUUCAAUCCAUACUAAACAAAUUAUAUACAGUGAUUUCUCCAUGUGCAUCCAGCAACAGUAUGGCAAGAACUAUAAAAAAUAAUAAUUUCUGUGAAUUUAAUUUAACAAAAUACUGUUGUUUCAGUGCACCCAGAAUGAUCCACAAUUUUUAAUUAUAUUUGGUAAGAGAAAGAAAAUUGAUUUGUAUUUACAGGCAUUCUGGGGAAAACAAAAUGUGCCAUUCAGUUCAGCAGCUAGUGCUUAGUGACUGAAUAGCAAGGUCGGACUUCUUUCUGGUUUGUUUGUUUGCUUUUCUCUUGGUUCUUUUUUGAAAGGAUUUGAAUGUCUAUGUAUGUCUCCAAAAUGCGUUUCUAUCCCAGAUCUUAUGGGAUAUGGAGUGCGCGAUGAUAGGGAGAAGGCAGUAUUUUUGAUCUAUUGUACUGACUUGCAAGUCAAGGUAAAUACAGGUUAAUAAAUGAAAAGGAAAAAGAGAAAAGAAAACAAAUGAUGCAAAGGCAAUCACUCACCAUCUCCCACCAGCUUACCGAUGGCCAGUCAGACUCUGAUCAAUGGCUAUUUUGGCAAAACUCCACCUCUGCACACCACCCUGUUUUCAUGCUGAGCAUGAUGCUAUAUGGUGUGGAAUAUCUCUUUAGUCACUUUGGGUGAGCUCUACUAGCUGCACAUCUUCCCAGUCUCUUGCCUGCUCCCAAGCUACUCAUUAGGAUGGGAGAGUGAGAAACAGAAAAAGCCUUGACACUGUGUAAGCACUGUUGAGAAGCGGCUAAACUACUGGUGCAUUAUCAGCAUCGUUUUGGUCACAAAUCCAUAAUGCAGCACCAUACAGGGCACUAUGAAGAAAACUAACUCCAUCUCAGUCAGAUCCAGUACAGUGAAAAUAGAGCACAACCCCUUUAAAACUUUGGUAUCUUAAGAAAUGCUGAUAAUUAUCAGGAGAAACACAAGUACUAGGGAUCAUUUGGACUAGAUCCUUCAACCACGUAGCUCAAACAAUCAGUUCUUGAAGAGGCCAACCUUCCUGGUCAGCUAUUUUAGUUAAAAAAAAAAAAAAAAUUCUGGAAACACUAUGUAAAAUAUUUGCAGUAACAAAUGAAGUGAAACACAGUAUCAACACAAUCUGUGCUUAACAGAGAAUACCUUAAUGCAGGAGGAAACUAUGGAUUUUGUGUAAAUAAGUAUCAGCCCUUGGUGAAUGCUCACUGGGUAAUUAGUUGUACAGCAGCAAGAUAACAUUCAAAAAUGGAUACUAUCUUGUGAAGUGUUAAUAACUUGCCAUCAAAUAGUAAAAAGAAACUUGAUAUGAGCCAAGUAAUUAUUUGUUCUUUGAAGAACUAUGUAAUUCUGAACUGUAAAUAUAUUUUUUUUCUGGUGAUAUUUCUGUCAUUCCUUUUGGGAUGACAAUGGUAGAUGUACAGUGUCUCCCACAGCUGACACUCCCUAUAUUCACAAAUGGUAGAAUUCUGGGACAGGUUU
ensembl:lncRNA